CACGCCCUAAACGAUGUCAACUAGCUGUUGGGGUUUAUUAACCUUAGUAGCGCAGCUAACGCGGGAAGUUGACCGCCUGGGGAGUNACGCGAAAAACCUUACCUACCCUUGACAUGUCUGGAAUCCUGAAGAGAUUCGGGAGUGCUCGCAAGAGAACCGGAACACAGGUGC
rnacentral:rRNA from 1 species